rnacentral:rRNA from 1 species
UUCAUCGCUCGCGAUGUUUAACUGACAUGAUUGUGGGACGUCCUACCGGUGGGCUAGCUUCCGGCCAGCCCAGUUAUAUCCCAUCGCGGUGCUCUUGAUCGAGUGUCGAGGUGGGCCGGUACGUUUACUUUGAACAAAUUAGAGUGCUCAAAGCAGGCUAUUUUCGCCUGAAUAUAUGUGCAUGGAAUAAUGGAAUAGGACCUCGGUUCUAU